rnacentral:lncRNA from 1 species
CAAGGAUUUUGAAAGAAAUAAAAAUUCUUCUCUCUAACUUCAAGCUUGAAACUCCAUCAAUCUUGCUCUUGAUUCAAAGGAAAUGAAGUUUUGAUUUGAUUUAGUGAAGAUCUAUGGUGGAGAUAUGAUUUUUGAAGCUUUGAGAAUGGUUAACAAUGGAGGAUUAAGGAAGAAAGAGAGAGAGAUGAGAGAGGGGUGAGGGGCGUGUGAAUGAGGGGAGAGAAGAGAGAGAGAG